rnacentral:rRNA from 1 species
GGCCUGCGCGGAAGAUGUAACGGGGCUCAAACCAGAUGCCGAAGCUACGGGUUCAUCCUUCUUGGAUGAGCGGUAGAGGAGCGUUGUGUAAGCCUGCGAAGGUGUGUUGUAAAGCAUGCUGGAGGUAUCACAAGUGCGAAUGCUGACAUGAGUAACGAUAAGAGGAGUGAAAACCUCCUCCGCCGGAAGACCAAGGUUUUCUGUUCGACGUUAAUCGGAGCAGAGUGAGUCGGCCCCUAAGGUGAGGCGGAAACGCGUAGCCGAUGGGAAACGGGUUAAUAUUCCCGUACCGGAUAUUACUGCGAUGGGGGGACGGAGAAGGCUAGGCGGGCCUGGUGAUGGUUCCAGGUGAAAGUAUGUAGGCUGAGCAAGUAGGCAAAUCCGCUUGCUCAAGGCCGAGAUACGAGACGAACCCAAUCCUUGUGAUCGGGGAAGCCGUUAAUGCCACGCUUCCAGGAAAAGCCUCUAAGCUUCAGGUAAUAUGCGACCGUACCCCAAACCGACACAGGUGGUCAGGUAGAGAAUACCAAGGCGCUUGAGAGAACUCGGGUGAAGGAACUAGGCAAAAUGGUACCGUAACUUCGGGAGAAGGUACGCCGCUUAAGGUGAAGGACUUGCUCCGUAAGCCUUGAGCGGUCGAAGAUACUAGGUGGCUGCAACUGUUUAUUAAAAACACAGCACUCUGCAAACGCGUAAGCGGACGUAUAGGGUGUGACGCCUGCCCGGUGCUGGAAGGUUAAUUGAUGGUGUUAGGAUUCGUCCGAAGCUCCUGAUCGAAGCCCCAGUAAACGGCGGCCGUAACUAUAACGGUCCUAAGGUAGCGAAAUUCCUUGUCGGGUAAGUUCCGACCUGCACGAAUGGCGUAAUGAUGGCCACACUGUCUCCACCCGAGACUCAGUGAAAUUGAAAUCGCUGUGAAGAUGCAGUGUACCCGCGGCUAGACGGAAAGACCCCGUGAACCUUUACUACAGCUUCACACUGGACGCUGAUGUUGUCUGUGUAGGAUAGCUGGGAGGCUUUGAAACUGUGACGCCAGUUGCAGUGGAGCCGACCUUGAAAUACCAGCCUGACAUCAUUGGCGUUCUAACUUGCCCCUGUUAUCCAGGGGAAGGACAGUGUGUGGUGGGUAGUUUGACUGGGGCGGUCUCCUCCUAAAGAGUAACGGAGGAGCACGAAGGUACCCUCAGCACGGUUGGACAUCGUGCAAUGAGUGCAAGAGCAUAAGGGUGCUUGACUGCGAGACGGACAGGUCGAGCAGGUGCGAAAGCAGGUUCUAGUGAUCCGGUGGUUCUGUAUGGAAGGGCCAUCGCUCAACGGAUAAAAGGUACUCCGGGGAUAACAGGCUGAUACCGCCCAAGAGUUCACAUCGACGGCGGUGUUUGGCACCUCGAUGUCGGCUCAUCACAUCCUGGGGCUGAAGUCGGUCCCAAGGGUAUGGCUGUUCGCCAUUUAAAGUGGUACGCGAGCUGGGUUUAGAACGUCGUGAGACAGUUCGGUCCCUAUCUGCCGUGGGCGUAGGAAGUUUGAGAAGAGUUGCUCCUAGUACGAGAGGACCGGAGUGAACGAACCGCUGGUGUUCCGGUUGUGAUGCCAAUUGCAUUGCCGGGUAGCUAUGUUCGGACGGGAUAACCGCUGAAAGCAUCUAAGCGGGAAGCCCCCUUCAAGAUGAGACUUCCCUGGGGCCUUGAGC